CAAUAGCGUAUAUUAAAGUUGUUGCAGUUAAAAAGCUCGUAGUUGGAUUUCGGAGUGUCGGGGCACGGACGCCGAGAGGCGUGGUGUGUGACCGAUGCUCUUCCUUCCAGGGAGGCGUUCUGUGCUUAACCGCACGGGGCGUGGACUUGGAUUGUUUACUUUGAGAAAAUUAUGGUGUUCAAAGCAGGCUAGCGCCUUGAGUAUAUUAGCAUGGAAUAAUGGAAUAGGACAUCGGCUCGCAAGAGUAGAUCCUAUUUUGUUGGUUUCUAGGACCGAUGUAAUGAUUAAUAGGGAUAGUUGGGGGCAUUAAUAUUUAAUUGUCAGAGGUGAAAUUCUUGGAUUUAUUAAAGAUUAACUUCUGCGAAAGCAUUUGCCAAGGAUGUUUNCAUUAA
rnacentral:rRNA from 1 species